GAUGAACGCUGGCGGCGUGCUUAACACAUGCAAGUCGAACGGGAAACCUUUUAAAGAAGCUUCGGCAAAUUUAGCUGGUUUCUAGUGGCGGACGGGUGAGUAACGCGUGGGUAACCUGCCUUGUACAGGGGGAUAACAGUCAGAAAUGACUGCUAAUACCGCAUAAGCGCACAGGACCGCAUGGUCCAGUGUGAAAAACUCCGGUGGUAUAAGAUGGACCCGCGUUGGAUUAGCUAGUUGGUGGGGUAACGGCCUACCAAGGCGACGAUCCAUAGCCGGCCUGAGAGGGUGAACGGCCACAUUGGGACUGAGACACGGCCCAGACUCCUACGGGAGGCAGCAGUGGGGAAUAUUGCACAAUGGGGGAAACCCUGAUGCAGCGACGCCGCGUGAAGGAAGAAGUAUCUCGGUAUGUAAACUUCUAUCAGCAGGGAAGAAUUAGGACGGUACCUGACUAAGAAGCCCCGGCUA
rnacentral:rRNA from 1 species